rnacentral:tRNA from 2 species
GUAGAGCGCACCCCUGAUAAGGGUGAGGUCCCUGGUUCGAGUCCAGGAUGGCCCA